CAGUCGUGAGGAAGGUAGUGUAGUUAAUAGCUGCAUUAUUUGACGUUAGCGACAGAAGAAGCACCGGCUAACUCCGUGCCAGCAGCCGCGGUAAGUACGGAGGGUGCGAGCGUUAAUCGGAAUUACUGGGCGUAAAGCGCAUGCAGGUGGUUUGUUAAGUCAGAUGUGAAAGACCCGGGGCGUCAACCUACGGAAUAGCAUUUAGUAAACUAGGCAGACUAGAGUACUGUAGAGGGGGGUAGGAAUUUCAGGUGUAGCGGUGAAAUGCGUAGAGAUCUGAAGGAAUACCGGUGGCGAAGGCGGCCCCCUGGACAGAUACUGACACUCAGAUGCGAAAGCGUGGGGAGCAAACAGGAUUAGAUACCCUGGUAG
rnacentral:rRNA from 1 species